rnacentral:rRNA from 1 species
GACGAACCGUGCAAACGUUAUUCGGAAUCAUUGGGCUUAAAGGGCGCGUAGGCGGCGUUGUAAGUUGGAGGUGAAAUCCCAUCGGCUCAACCGUGGAAUUGCCCCCAAUACUGCAAUGCUCGAGGGAGGUAGGGGCGAGUGGAACUUCCAGUGGAGCGGUGAAAUGUGUUGAGAUUGGAAGGAACGCCGGUGGCGAAAGCGACUCGCUGGCCCUCUUCUGACGCUGAGGCGCGAAAGCUAGGGGAGCAAACGGGAUUAGAAACCCCCGUAGUCC